GAUGAACGCUGGCGGCGUGCCUAAUACAUGCAAGUCGAGCGAACGGACGAGAAGGUUGCUUCUCUGAUGUUAGCGGCGGACGGGUGAGUAACACGUGGAUAACCUACCUAUAAGACUGGGAUAACUUCGGGAAACCGGAACGAAUACCGGAUAAUAUUUUGAACCGCAUGGUUCAAAAGUAAAAGACGGUCUUGCUGUCACUUAUAGAUGGAUCCGCGCUGCAUUAGCUAGUUGGUAAGGUAACGGCUUACCAAGGCAACGAUGCAUAGCCGACCUGAGAGGGUGAUCGGCCACCCUAGAACGGAGACACGGUCCAGACUCCUACGGGAGGCAGCAGUAGGGAAUCUUCCGCAAUGGGCGAAAGCCUGACGGAGCAACGCCGCGUGAGUGAUGAAGGUCUUCGGAUCGUAAAACUCUGUUAUUAGGGAAGAACAUAUGUGUAAGUAACUGUGCACAUCUUGACGGUACCUAAUCAGAAAGCCACGGCUAACUACGUG
rnacentral:rRNA from 1 species